ensembl:lncRNA novel transcript
ACCUGGUCUGUGGAAAAUCAAACUCUGGGCACAAGUCAUGAAGCCAGCACGUUGGGGAGACACCGUGUCACAAUGACAAGGAGGUGCCGGGGGUAAUGGUGACAGCCUGGAGCACACUCCGGAGGCAGGUGGUGCAGAUGGAGAGCCCUCAUCCCUCUAUGCAUGUAGAAGAAUACCUUACACUUGAAGUCAUUCUGAAAAUACUGUGACUCAAAGAGGUCCAGAGAUGCCAAGAAGCUCACAGUGAGGAGCAUCACUAAGUGGACAAGGGCCAGGUGACAGGUGAUGAGAUUUCUAUGAAGAAACAGAUACCCUGCAAACCUGUUGGAAGGAACCAUAUUAGGUUUUCUUGGCCACUACCUGUGCUGCUAAGUUGAAGGGCAAUGUCUUUUAGGAUAUUUGGUCACCCCUCUAUUUAUACACAGCUCCGAAGAAACCCAGCACUGGACAAAUUCUCUCAAACUUUUCCCCAAGCUUGGCCACCAAUCUGUUUUAGAUGAAGACUCCAUUUGGAGGA